GGAUUUACUUAUUUGGGUGAUUUUGUGUCUUGUAGAGAUUUGUUAGAAACGUUGCUACAUUCUUGUUUACGCUGUUAGUAUCUUCUUUUCGUUCUAUGCUGUUCUUUUGCAGUCUAUUUUGACCCAAAACAAUAAUCAGUCUAGGGUAAUUUUUGGCUUCACGUUUGUGUUCCUGGAGGCAAUAUUAUUAGAAGUUUAGACGCCAAAAGGUGGACCUUUCUGUUUCUCGUAUGCCUAUGAAUGCUUGUGUAUGCAAGAGAAAGAUUGCACUUUGGAUUGAGAAUGAUAUUUUGAUUUU
rnacentral:misc_RNA from 1 species